rnacentral:rRNA from 1 species
CCGGAUUUAUUGGGUUUAAAGGGUGCGUAGGUGGCCUGUUAAGUCAGGGGUGAAAGACGGUAGCUUAACUAUCGCAGUGCCCUUGAUACUGAUGGGCUUGAAUGAACUAGAGGUAGGCGGAAUGUGACAAGUAGCGGUGAAAUGCAUAGAUAUGUCACAGAACACCAAUUGCGAAGGCAGCUUACUAUGGUUUUAUUGACACUGAGGCACGAAAGCGCGGGGAUCAAACAGGAUUAGAUACCCUGGUAGUCCACGCCCUAAACGAUGAAUACUCGAUGUUGGCGAUAUAUGGUCAGCGUCUAAGCGAAAGCGUUAAGUAUUCCACCUGGGGAGUACGCCCGCAAGGGUGAAACUCAAAGGAAUUGACGGGGGCCCGCACAAGCGGAGGAGCAUGUGGUUUAAUUCGAUGAUACGCGAGGAACCUUACCCGGGCUUGAAAGUUAGUGAAUGUAGCAGAGACGCUACAGUUCUUCGGAACACGAAACUAGGUGCUGCA